rnacentral:rRNA from 1 species
UACAGAGGGUGCGAGCGUUAAUCGGAAUUACUGGGCGUAAAGCGUGCGUAGACGGUUAUUUAAGUCGGGUGUGAAAGCCCCGGGCUCAACCUGGGAAUUGCAUUCGAGACUGAAUAGCUAGGGUACGGUAGAGGGAAGUGGAAUUUCCGGUGUAGCGGUGAAAUGCGUAGAUAUCGGAAGGAACAUCAGUGGCGAAGGCGGCUCACUGGACCGGUACUGACGCUGAUGCGCGAAAGCGUGGGGAGCAAACAGG